rnacentral:rRNA from 1 species
AUUGAACGCUGGCGGCAGGCCUAACACAUGCAAGUCGAACGGUAACAGGAAGCAGCUUGCUGCUUUGCUGACGAGUGGCGGACGGGUGAGUAAUGUCUGGGAAACUGCCUGAUGGAGGGGGAUAACUACUGGAAACGGUAGCUAAUACCGCAUAACGUCGCAAGACCAAAGAGGGGGACCUUCGGGCCUCUUGCCAUCGGAUGUGCCCAGAUGGGGUUAGCUAGUAGGUGGGGUAACGGCUCACCUAGGCGACGCUCGCUAGCUGGUCUGAGAGGAUGACCAGCCACACGGGAACUGAGACACGGUCCAGACUCCAAGGGGAGGCAGCAGGGGGGAAUAUUGAAAAAUGGGCGCAAGCCUGAUGCAGCCAUGCGGCGUGGAUGAAGAAGGCCUUCGGGUUGUAAAGUACUUUCAGCGGGGAGGAAGGGAGUAAAGUUAAUACCUUUGCUCAUGGACGUAACCCGCAGAAGAAGCACCGGCUAACUCCGU